GGCAACUUAGUAUGAAGGGUGUUUAAUAUGAAGGGGGUGUUGAAGGUGACUAAGUCGAUAUCAAAGACAAGUUUCCAUCAAAAUGCAUCUUUAUCAAAUGGAAAGCUUUUUCCAAGGGUACAGCACCCUUCCAAUAAGUUAGUCCCAUCAUCAAUGGAGAGCCAGCACCCCCCCCCCUUUUCCUUCCCUUUCCUUUCAUGGAACCUCCCAACCAAACCAAACCAAACCUCACAAGACACCCAGGUUUCCCCCACACCUACAUGGCUUCUCAUGCACCUCUACCACGUGUCAACUACUCAUUCACGAGACCUACGAGAAAAUUGCUGAUGUGGCAUGAAGCACAGCCCAAUGCUGAGUACUCAGAACAUCAUCUUGUGGCUGGAUGCAACUUGCUCUUGUGAUGCCCUCGUGACUGAUAGAACCUAUGCACACACACGCACACACUCAAAGUGGGAGUUAAUAAAUUAUGCGUCGGGAGGCGUCAAUCAUCAGGGCGAAGUGGGAGUUUACUAAAUAUGCAUGACAAAAGAGUGCAUGAGCUUUCAUGGAGCAGCGAAGUUGGGGACUACAGUUGGGAAGUGCGUAGCAUGGAGGAGGGUGCCAGCCAAUGUUACUGCCACUGCCAGGUCUACUACAGAAUACAGUAUUGAAAUAUCAUAAAAUCCAGAGGUAGAGAGGAGAGGGUUGAGAUUUUUGGGGGUUUUGGGGUUGGCCCCAGGGCUCUAAAGCACUCACAGCCGACCAG
rnacentral:lncRNA from 1 species